GGACUACCGGGGUAUCUAAUCCUGUUUGCUACCCGAGCCUUCGUCCCUCAACGUCAGUUACUACAUAAAAGGUUGCCUUCGCCUUUACCAGUCCUUAAGGUAUCACAAAAUUUCAACUUUACUCCUUAAAUACUCACCUUAUCACAUAUAACUCUAGUAGGAUUAUACUAUAUUUAUAGUUAAUUCUACAGUCUAGGUACCCUUUACACCUAAUAAAGAUGAAUAACACUAGUCUUUUACGUAUUACCGCGGCUGCUGGCAC
rnacentral:rRNA from 1 species